rnacentral:lncRNA from 1 species
AGAUGCACCUGAAAUGGCCACUUUAAUGUGUGCAGCCCCCCCAGGGAACGGAGACAAGAGGGAUUUGCUGGUGUAAGGCCACAGAAAUGCAGUCCAAGGUAGAUUAAGAUGAGGUGAUUUUAAGGACUUGUGAAAGCUCCGGCAGCCCCAGCUAAAACCGCAUCCGAGAAAGGACCAAGCGACACCAACACGUGAAGCCCCUGAAAAAGCCUGGAAGCAAAACAGCCAUAAUUAAAACCUGAAAGCAACGACUUCAUAAAAGAAGUAAACGAAGAGGCGGGCUCUUUGGGACCUGCAGCUUCCUCUGCAGCCAGGACCAGAGGGUUGGGAUCGCUGGAGCACCAGGAACAAGAGUGUUACCAAAGCCCCCGAGUGCUGGUGGAGGGAAUGUGCUGGCAGCGUUCACCGGGCACAGGAGGAGAGUGAAAAGUGCUCAGAUGUGUGGUCCCAUGGAAGGUUCUCCAUAAGAGACCAGUCUGGUCCACGAUGGGUGAGUUCCUGUGAAACAGUGACAUCUAAAACCGCAUCCAGCAGCUCCCCCUGGGCAGAAGGACACCGUCCUGUGAGGGGCAGAAGGGAAGGGCCUGUGAAGCCGGGGUGGAAAAUGUCCCGGGAUUUCAGGCUGUAAGAGGGAAUCACUAAGGGGAACACUCUCGUGAAGAAAAUUAGGGAAAAUUAAGACUUUAUAAAAUAGCCUCUGGUUCUCUCCUUUCACAGUAUUUCAAUUUGUAAGAUGAUGAAAACUGAAUUCACUCCAGUGGUUUGCUGGCGUCACCCAUAGGAGCCAGGCUUUCCAGAUGCUCAGAGAUGCUCAUUCCUGCUCCACCCACUCACAUCAGUUCCCACCUGGUUGAAGUUUAAGAAAACAACAGAACAAAAUCAAUCGCACAAACUCUGACAUAAAAUCCCGAGGAGAGUUAAAUACUGAUUAUCCAAAUAGAGAGGGGCUAUUUUUUAUUUAUGUUUCUCUGAGUGAUUUUAGGAAAUAUAAAACUUUUACAGUUCCUGCAGCCAAACUGCUUCUUUUGUGCUGUAAACAUGAGCUAAUUUCUUUUUUCUUUCCCCUUCUCCAAUCAAACGUCUGUCUCUUGGAGAU